AGUCGGCGGGGUAACGGCCCACCGAGGCGACGAUGCGUAGGGGUUCUGAGAGGAAGGUCCCCCACACUGGUACUGAGACACGGACCAGACUCCUACGGGAGGCAGCAGUGAGGAAUAUUGGUCAAUGGGCGCGAGCCUGAACCAGCCAAGUCGCGUGAGGGAUGACGGUCCUACGGAUUGUAAACCUCUUUUGCCGGGGAGCAAGCGUGCGUUCGUGAACGCGCGUCGAGAGUACCCGGAGAAAAAGCAUCGGCUAACUCCGUGCCAGCAGCCGCGGUAAUACGGAGGAUGCGAGCGUUAUCCGGAUUUAUUGGGUUUAAAGGGUGCGUAGGCGGGAUGCCAAGUCAGCGGUAAAAAUGCGGUGCUCAACGCCGUCGAGCCGUUGAAACUGGCGUUCUUGAGUGGGCGAGAAGUAUGCGGAAUGCGUGGUGUAGCGGUGAAAUGCAUAGAUAUCACGCAGAACUCCGAUUGCGAAGGCAGCAUACCGGCGCCCUACUGACGCUGAGGCACGAAAGCGUGGGUAUCGAACAGGAUUAGAUACCCUGGUAGUCCACGCAGU
rnacentral:rRNA from 1 species